UACGAAGGGGGCUAGCGUUGUUCGGAAUCACUGGGCGUAAAGCGCACGUAGGCGGAUGUGCCAGUCAGGGGUGAAAUCCCGGAGCUCAACUCCGGAACUGCCUCUGAUACAGCACGUCUUGAGUUCGAGAGAGGUGGGUGGAAUUCCUAGUGUAGAGGUGAAAUUCGUAGAUAUUAGGAAGAACACCGGUGGCGAAGGCGGCCCACUGGCUCGAUACUGACGCUGAGGUGCGAAAGCGUGGGGAGCAAACAGGAUUAGAAACCCCCGUAGUCC
rnacentral:rRNA from 1 species